rnacentral:lncRNA from 1 species
GCGGAUUGGGGCAGCGCGUGCCGGAAGCCGGCCGCCGCCAUCUUGGUAAAGGACGGGGACACCGCCCAGCCGCCCGCCCACCAUCUUGGCAAAGGGUCUGGGUAGCGGGUGGCCGAAGUCGUUGUUCCUCUCCCCGAAGGGUGAACGCUGCUCCGUGCGUUGUCCAAUAUGAAAGGAAAGAACUAGGCUUUUGGCAAGCCGCCUGUCCGGAGCCCGUCUACACGGGCAGCCUCCAGACCGUUUUGGGCCGCCAUCUUGGCAAAGGAAGCGACGCUCCCCGCCGCGGGAAAACGGGAACCAAAGCGUUUGCCAAAGUAGAAGCCUCAGCCAGUAGAGUUUUUAUGAAGGGCGCUCAACAGUCCACUUGUUAACCAAAGCUCCUUCUGGAUCCAGAAGCGAUGCCUCCUCUUUGCCUUUUCUUUGGAGCAAGUCAACUAGGAGGAGGCCCUUGCCUUGGAUGCUCAUAGUGGACCCUAAGUGAGAAUUUACUCCCAGAACCAUACUUUGCCUACUUGCCAGUUUCUCCACCUUCUGAGUCUUAGUGCUAGAAUCACAUGUCUUUCGUGGGUUCAGUCCCCAAACCACCAAUAGUUUCAGGGGGGAAAAUCAAGACCUAAACCUACAAUAGUAUGUUAUCCAUCUUUUAAAAGCAUUCUAGAAGAAUUCAAUUAGAGCAGGAGUCAUGGAUGGCUCUGCAGAACAGGCUACUACCUGAAGAUCUCUCGUGUCUUGCUUACAGACCCAGUUUUGCUGAAUCCACCUUAUGUUAACUGUGCUAUAAAUUCCAGAGGAGUGGUUUACAUAUGAGCUGGGAAGACUCACCUGCGUGGAUCAUUUAGGGACACCACAUUGCCUUGGAUGACCAACCUCCACCCUAUGAGGGUACCUGAAGCAGCAUAGUGGUUAAGAAUAUGACCUCUGGGGCCAGAACGCCUGGAUUUGAACCUGACUCUGCCACUUGUUGCCUAUGUGACCCUCAUAAGCCUCGUACCCUCUGUGCCCCCGAUUCCUUAUCUGUAAAAUGAGGGAAGACAAUAG